GGGUGCGAUCAUACCAGCACUAAUGCACCAGAUCCCAUCAGAACUCCGCAGUUAAGCGUGCUUGGGCGAGAAUGGUACUACGACGAGCUUUGUCGUCGGACCCC
rnacentral:rRNA from 1 species